rnacentral:lncRNA from 1 species
AGAGACUUAGUCCAUUGGGCCCAAAUCAAUGAAACCUGUCCUAAUCUAAUUGCGCUUUUGACCUAUUUUUCACCUGUCCUAAUCUAUGUUUUCGAGCCUUUUUGGCCCAAAAUUUGCUUCACCUGUAUUAAAAUACAACUUUGGCUUCGAGGCCUAAAUGAAUGACUUUAAACAGAUGCAUAAAUAAUUAAAUACAAUAAGAAAUAAAAUAAUAAGAGAGUGAGACUUUCAAGUUUCUUUGUCGUUUCAACGAUGGGAUUUUAACCUAUUUCUUCUUCUUCCAUCUCUUGCAUCCGCACCUCAUGUAUCAUCCUAUUGAACCUUUUUUCAAAGUCUUCUUUUUUAAAAAGUGGGCCUUAAUGGCCCAUUGCGUAAUGCAAGGGGAAAGGGUCCAUUUGGACUCCUGAACGGGUUCACGCAAAGAAAAGGAUGAAGAAAUUAAUAUUUAUUCGAAACACAAUGUGACAUGCUUCAAAAUAGAAGAAACUAUUAACAGCUAAUUUUUGAAUGACAAUGAUGAGCACACAUACACACAUAUGGUUAAAAUGAGAGUCAAGAUAUGAAAUGCAAAGCAAGAACGUACAUCUCCAUGCCUUAUGGUUUAUACUCAUGUUAAGGAUAAAUAUGAAAGGAAA